rnacentral:lncRNA from 1 species
UGUGUACUGUGUGUGCCUCAUACAUUGUGUGUACUGUGUGUACCUCAUACAUUGUGUGUACUGUGUGUGCCUCAUACAUUGUGUGUAGUGUGUGUAGCCUCAUACAUUGUGUGUACUGUGUGUAACCUCACACAUUGUGUGUACUGUGUGUACCUCAUACAUUGUGUGUACUGUGUGUAACCUCACACUUUGUGUGUACUGUGUGCAACCUCACACAUUGUGUGUACUGUGUGUAACCUCACACAUUGUGUGUACUGUGUGUAACCUCACACAUUGUGUGUACUGUGUGUACCUCAUACAUUGUGUGUACUGUGUGUGCCUCAUACAUUGUGUGUAGUGUGUGUAGCCUCAUACAUUGUGUGUACUGUGUGUACUGUGUGGAGCCUCGCACAUUGGCGCUUUGCUUAUUGACUUC